GUUCUCCCGAAGCAGCCGGCCGGCGUGACAGUACCAUCGAAUCCACGGAAAGGCGAUCGCAGCGGUCAUUAAAUCAAAGUGCGCGGAAAAAAACGGCGAAACAACAAGUAUGAAAAGUCGCGGAAAUCAGUGCAAAAUGUGUGUGAAGUGAGGGCAAAGCCAGGAGCAGCCCCACAACCAAAACCGAGCCGCUGUCGUUUGUGUGUGUGUUAUUUUUUCAAUGUAAAGUAUGUAAAUUGCCAAGAUCCGCGCUUUUUCUUUGGCUAGUUAAUAUUGUUUUGUUAUUUGUAUGUGCAAAUGCAACACCUGCAAGUGUGGAACAAUUGCAAGUGUCCCACAAAUGCAAGUGUUUAACAAAUUUAAUGCGCAAUAAGAUUUUUUCGUUCUUUUGUGCGUGUGCUUUUUCCAUUCUUCGUCCGUUGGGAUCUAAAGCAACAACAAUUGUGAGAGGGAAUUUAAUAUUCAAGCCUAUCACCUACACAUCAAAUACCAUUCAGAGCAUGUUUCCCCACCGGUUCGAAACUAGGAGUUGCUUGGAAGUGUCCAGCUAAUAUUUGCUGAAUCCUCUCUCUCUCUCCCUCACAAACACCGACGCCUUCCAGUAUCACCUUUUUGCCUCUCCCGGUGGUCUUCGUAAAUCAGUUCUCCAGAAGCAGCCGGCCGGCGUGACAGUACUAUCGAAUCCACGGAAAGGCGAUCGCAGCGGUCAUUAAAUCAAAGUGCGCGGAAAAAAAACGGCGAAACAACAAGUAUGAAAAGUCGCGGAAAUCAGUGCAAAAUGUGUGUGAAGUGAGGGCAAAGCCAGGAGCAGCCCCACAACCAAAACCGAGCCGCUGUCGUUUGUGUGUGUGUUAUUUUUUCAAUGUAAAGUAUGUAAAUUGCCAAGAUCCGCGCUUUUUCUUUGGCUAGUUAAUAUUGUUUUGUUAUUUGUAUGUGCAAAUGCAACACCUGCAAGUGUGGAACAAUUGCAAGUGUCCCACAAAUGCAAGUGUUUAACAAAUUUAAUGCGCAAUAAGAUUUUUUCGUUCUUUUGUGCGUGUGCUUUUUCCAUUCUUCGUCCGUUGGGAUCUGCAGCAACAACAAUUGUGAGAGGGAAAAUAAUAUCCAAGCCUAACACCCACACAUCAAAUACCAUUCAGAGCAUGUUUCCCCACCGGUUCGAAACUAGGAGUUGCUUGGAAGCGUCCAGCUAAUAUUAGCAACAGCUAGAUCCUCUCUCUCUCCCCCACAAAAAUCGCCAAAACAUUGCCGCCUUCCAGUAACGCCAAGUAACCUCUCUCGGUGGUCUUCGUAAAUCAGUUCUUCCGAAGCAGCCGGCCGGCGUGACAGUACCACCAAAUCACCGGAAAAGCGAUCGCGGCUUCAUUAAAUCAAAGUACGCGGAACAAUACGGCGGAAGAAAAGUGAAAACAAGUGUGAGAAGUCGCGAAAAUCAGUGAGCUCGAGCAGUGAAGUGGGUGCACAGCCACGAGCAGCCCCACAACCAAAGCCGAAUAACUGCAAGUCUUCAACAAAUUUAACUGCGCAAUAAGAAGGUUUUUACCUAUCUUUUGUGCGUGUGCUUCGUGCAUCGUCGCCCGUUGGGAUCUGCAGCAGCAACAAUUGUAAGCGGGAAAGUAAUAUCCAAGCCUAACACCCUCACAUCAAAUACCAUUCAGAGCAUGUUUCCCCACCGGUUCGAAACUAGGAGUUGCUUGGAAGCGUCCAGCUAAUAUUAGCAACAGCUAGAUCCUCUCUCUCUCCCCCACAAAAAUCGCCGAAACAUUGCCGCCUUCCAGUAACGCCAAGUGACCUCUCUCGGUGGUCUUCGUAAAUCAGUUCUUCCGAAGCAGCCGGCCGGCGUGACAGUACCACCAAAUCACCGGAAAGGCGAUCGCGGCUUCAUUAAAUCAAAGUACGCGGAACAAUACGGCGGAAGAAAAGUGAAAACAAGUGUGAGAAGUCGCGGAAAUUAGUGAGCCCGAGCAGUGAAGUGGGUGCAAAGCCACGAGCAGCCCCACAACCAAAGCCGAAUAACUGCAAGUCUUCAACAAAUUUAACUGCGCAAUAAGAAGGUUUUUACCUGUCUUUUGUGCGUGUGCUUCGUGCAUCGUUGCCCGUUGGGAUCUGCAGCAGCAACAAUUGU